rnacentral:rRNA from 1 species
CACGUAGGGACCAAGCGUUGUCCGGAUUCAUUGGGCGUAAAGAGCUCGUAGGCGGUUCGAUAAGUCGGGUGUGAAACCUCCAGGCUCAACCUGGAGACGCCACCCGAUACUGCGUGACUAGAGGUAGGUAGGGGAGAUCGGAAUUCCUGGUGUAGCGGUGAAAUGCGCAGAUAUCAGGAGGAACACCGGUGGCGAAGGCGGAUCUCUGGGCCUUACCUGACGCUCAGGCGCGAAAGCUAGGGGAGCGAACAGG